AUACGUAGGGAGCGAGCGUUGUCCGGAUUUACUGGGUGUAAAGGGUGCGUAGGCGGGAUAGCAAGUCAGACGUGAAAUACCGAGGCUUAACUUCGGGGCUGCGUUUGAAACUGUUAUUCUUGAGUGAAGUAGAGGCAGGCGGGAUUCCUCGUGUAGCGGUGAAAUGCGUAGAUAUUAGGAGGAACACCAGUGGCGAAGGCGGCCUGCUGGGCUUUAACUGACGCUGAGGCACGAAAGCAUGGGGAGCAAACAGGAUUAGAUACCCUGGUAGUCCAUGCCGUAAACGAUGAUAGCUAGGUGUGGGGGGACUGACCCCUUCCGUGCCGGAGUAAACACAAUAAGCUAUCCAUCUGGGGAGUACGACCGCAAGGUUGA
rnacentral:rRNA from 1 species